rnacentral:misc_RNA from 1 species
AAAUAUUUUGUAACUACUCCAGAACCAGGGGCAAGACUUGUCUUUAUCCAUGGCUUGACCUGUAAACCAAGUUCGCAAGCCUUUUUUGCAACAAGACCAGCCCCAAGCAUCACGCUGGGAUUUGAUGUGUUUGUGCAGCUUGUGAUUGCAGCAAUCACCACACUACCAUGCUUAAGCUCUGCUGGUUGUCCAUGGAAUGAGAACUUUGCCACUUUGUCUUGUGCUUCUUUUGGUACAGCAAAGCCCUUGAAUCCAACUUGGUUGUCAAGACAAGAAUGCCAGUCAGUCUUCAUUUCUCUCAAAGGAACCCGAUCAUGAGGUCUCUUUGGUCCAGAAAUACAUGGCUCUACAUCAGCAAGGUUCAAUUGUAGAUAUGAUGAGUACACCCUUUCUUGUUGGGGCUCAUUAUAGUCAACAAACAUUUUAUUUGCACGAAGGUAUGCUUCUA